CGCGGUAAUUCCAGCUCCAAUAGCGUAUAUUUAAGUUGUUGCAGUUAAAAAGCUCGUAGUUGGAUUUCGGUUGAGAGCGGCCGGUCCGCCGUUUGGUGUGCACUGGCUGGUCUCAACUUCCUGCGGAGGACGCGCUCUGGGCUUAACGGUCUGGACGUGGAGUCCGCGUGGUUACUUUGAAAAAAUUAGAGUGUUCAAAGCGGGCUUACGCUUGAAUAUUUCAGCAUGGAAUAACACUAUAGGACUCCUGUCCUAUUUCGUUGGUCUCGGGACGGGAGUAAUGAUUAAGAGGAACAGUUGGGGGCAUUCGUAUUUCAUUGUCAGAGGUGAAAUUCUUGGAUUUAUGAAAGACGAACUUCUGCGAAAGCAUUUGCCAAGGAUGUUUUCAUUAAUCAAGAACGAAAGUUGGGGGCUCGAAGAUGAUUAGAUACCAUCCUAGUCUCAACCAUAAACGAUGCCGACUAGGGAUUGGCGGAUGUUAAUUGAUGACUCCGCCAGCACCUUAUGAGAAAUCAAAGUUUUUGGGUUCCGGGGGGAGUAUGGUCGCAAGGCUGAAACUUAAAGGAAUUGACGG
rnacentral:rRNA from 1 species